UCCUAUCAUGUGACCACUUGUCACACUUCCAUCAAACAGUACCUGCCCCUUAGGUGUGCUAGGGAAUAAAUGAAAUGCCUGGGACAUCAUCGUUAAGUGGCAUCUGAUGCAUAAGCAGUGCCCUAGGAACGGGGUUGCCUGCCUUGGUCUCUAAAGGAUGGGUUCAAAAGGCAAGAGCAGCACACAAGAAGAUAGCUUCAAGCAGGAGAAAAAGCUUGGCCCAGGGCCCAAAGGGGAUACGACCCUUCAGGUUGGCCCUGACCUCUGGGUUGGAUUACCAGUGACACAAUGAACAUUUCAUUAUGAGGCCAUCCCUUGAGCAAACUGACAUGCUGAAAGCUGCCCUAUGGAGAGGCUCAUGUGGCAAGGAACAUGGGGGUGGCUUCUGGCCAACACCCAGUGAGGAACUCAGGCCCUCAGUCAAACAGCCUGCAAGGAACUGAACCCUGCCAAUAACCAUAUCAUCACGUAUAAUUCUAGAGGCAGUGUCAGACCCCGGCCAAUGACCACCAUGGACCUCCCUGUAGUUGAACAAAGUUGGGUUUGCUGACUGGUGGCAGUGAGGGAGAAUGCACACCACAGGGAGCUGUGCAGUGUCUCAGUAAGAAGCCAGGAGCCAUCCCAUGAGGCCGUUACUGCAAACAAGCUGAAAAUCCUGCUUUGUUUCUUUUGGACACAACAUGCUUUCCUUCAGCUUCAGUAGACGAUGAGGCCAGCACCACAUGGGCUAGAUGUACAUGAGAUGUGAGCAACCACACUUCCCCUCUGACGGGGACAGACAGCAUCACAGGACAUGAAGUUCUAAGAGUUUCAGUGACUUGUCUAAGAUUAAACAGCUAUGAAUGGAGAACUGGAGGAAAAUGCCUCAUCAUCUCUCACCUGGGCAACUGCAACAAUGAGCAGCUUGUGUCUGUGCCUGCAUCCAUCCUUCCAUCCUGUUCUCCAGCAGCAGCCAGGGUGGUCUUUCAAAAAUGCAAAGCUGAUAAUGUUACUCCCCUGCUGUAAACCUUCCAGCGGUUUCCUAUUGCCUUCAGAAUAAAAUACGAAUCGUCCGGCCUCCAUCUAUCUCUCCAGGCUCAUCCUCUCUCAAUUUUCCAUAUCCUUCAGGCUGAGCUCUGAAACUUCUCCUGGCAGUUCAAGAGAGCGAUGGAGGGAAUGCUGGGGCACAUCUAAAUAAAGCCCCCAAGUGGGAGUUCCUGCUCAGCUAUGCAUGAGCUCUUUGUGACUUCAUCUCCCAGCCUACAACUUGUGAAAUAAGCACGACUUCACUCAGAGCACAGCCAGAAACAUACAAACUUUCCAAAAAUAUUUGAAUGUUGACAGCAGACUGUCUUGCAUUCCAGUGAAUAAUUGGUUUGUAUGAGUGUGUGUGUGACCUAAAUCCACAGAACUUACCAUUCUGUGGCUAUACAAACAGCACAUUUUUGCAGUAGGACCAUUUGUUUCUGUGACAUGGGUCUUACACAGGACCACAUACUGGAGGCCUCGGUGAAGCUUGAGGACAUC